rnacentral:rRNA from 1 species
GAGAGUGGGUAGUCCGCACGAGCGCACCUUACUUUUAGUUGCCAUCAUUUAGUUGGGCACUCUGAAAGAACUGCCAGUGAUAAGCUGGAGGAAGGUGGGGAUGACGUCAAGUCCUCAUGGCCCUUACGUGUUGGGCUACACACGUGCUACAAUGGUAUCUACAACAGGAAGCAAAACAGCGAUGUUAAGCAAAUCCCGAAAAGAUACCUCAGUUCGGAUUGCACUCUGCAACUCGAGUGCAUGAAGCUGGAAUUACUAGUAAUCGUGGAUCAGCGUGCCACGGUGAAUACGUUCCCGGGUCUUGUACACACCGCCCGUCACACCAUGGGAGUUGGUUCUACCUUAAGGCAAGGUUUUAAACCCUUGACCACGGUAUAGUCAGCGACUGGGGUGAAGUCGUAACAAGGUAGCCGUAGGGGAACCUGCGGCUGGAUUACCUCCUUUCU